rnacentral:rRNA from 1 species
GUAUUGUGAAUGAAAGGUGAAAAGAAUUCCGCAAGGUAAGUGAAAUAGUGCUGUUUGUAUGUGCUAAUAACUUGCUUGGCCUAUAGCACCUAUAGUGGUUGUUGAAGAAAGAAUUGUUGAUUUU